GCUGGGCAGUCCCAGAAGCUCAGACGUCGCGGCCAUCAGCACGUCCUGCAUUUUAGCGGAUUUUGACUAGCGGGGCGCGGCAUUUCUUGGCGGUAGCAAGUCUGGAGCGGUCGAGGCCGCGAUUUCCGAGCUUGCGGAGGAACACCGGAUUCUGCUGGCAGGAAUACCAUAACCACAGGACAGCACCGGUUAGCAUGUCUGCAAUUUCUUUCCUUGGCUUCACUCUGACCAGUCUUGGUUUGGGCACCAGUCCUAGUGCCUGCUAAACAGUUUCUCCUGCUCAGGACCCCAGCGUUCUCUGUGACAUCUCUUUCUCAGUCCCAGCACAGCUGCUCUUCCUGAGCUGGCCUGUCCAUCGUUGAGUGACCACAGGUGAGGCCAGUGGGUUUGGAACGUCCUCUUCUUGUCUUUAAUAUCAUAUAUUUUCUUUGUUGGGUUAGUUUCUGUACAUUAUGCUUGUUUUUCCAUUUCAUUUUGGUUUGUUUUCUUUCUGCUUUGUUUUGGUAACGGGAGGAGGACCUCGGGCUUGGGUUCUGGGUGUCCUCUACAAUGGUAUCCUGUUUCAUUUUUGUCUACUGAUUUGUUACUACCGGGUGCCAUGACUUCUACCUUGCCUCCACCAACAAGCCCAGGAGAGCACUAAUACCCAGGCUGUGGCACUGCUGCAGGCUUUGCCAGCCUCAUCUGUGCAACCUCAUCUUCCCUGUCAGAGGCCUCUUCCACGACGGAGCAGCAUGUUCUUGGCCAUGUGAAAGGUGCUGAGGUGCCACUGGAGCCCCAGCCUCCAUCUGUGCUGUGCUCAGAAGAUUCUGGGCUUCACCUGCUCCCUUUCUAUUCUAUGCUGGGAUAGAGUCCCAGGCCGCAGUGAUGGUUUGGAUUUGGGACUGCUUUCCAGUCUUGCUGGUGGCUUCAAGGGGGUCUACCGGCAAAAUGAAGUCUGUCUAGAGCCCAGAGCAACUUGGAACCAAAGCCUGUUCUGCCCUCUGCGAGCCUCUGGUUCAGGACACAGAUGAACCCAGAGGCAUUUGCAGGAGAGAUGGACCCUGGAGAGGCACCUAAGCCACUCACCCACCAGCAGCUUCCCUCCACCAGGAUGCCCCUCCUGGCCACACACCGCUGGAUGGGGACACCUGACAGUGGAGCAUCCCCCGGAACAGAAGCACCACAGACCUCCCCUCCCUACCUGCGGGAGGCACAUCCAGGUGUUCUCAGGCUGCCUGGAGGGGGUCCCUUACACCCCGCACAGCCUGUGUUACAGCUGCUGCCCCUCCCUGCAUCUUUGGGUCUAAGGAGUCCUGAGAUUGGGGCAGGAGCCUUUUUCUAUCUUCCUUCAGGAAGAGAUUGUCAUCUGUGACUCCUGAAUAAAAACGUAUUAAGAUGUGGCUUCAGAGUUCAAUGUCCAGUUCUGCUUCUCGGGUGAAGUUUCUCCUUUUUCUUACUGGUCGCUGACUACACUUAGGUUUU